rnacentral:rRNA from 1 species
AAGGCUUCAGUACGACUCAGUCAGAACUAUAAGUCUCAAAGCCCCGACGAGUAGGGUGGCGUGCCGGUGCGCGUUGAAGGCCAAGACGUGAGUCAGGCUGGAGCCGCCGGUAGUGCAGAUCUUGGUGGUAGUAGCAAGUACUCUGGUGAACCAACCUGGAGCUGUGAGGUCUGGAUCAGGGUUCCAUGUCAACAGUGAUUGAACAUGGGUGAGUCGAUCCUAAGCCAACUGUGAAAGCAGUGACAUCCCGACAAUGGGGCAUACGUGCGCCGCACUCACACACCCAUACCAAAGCUCUCGAGUAACUCCUUACGCUCUCUCUAACAACAAGGUGCUUGGUACGCACAACAGGCGCACACACACACACACUGAGUGUGUGUGCGCUUUUCUGGUUACGCUCAUUAGCGUUGUAGAUCUCUGUGAACUUUUUAAGGAGGAAAGAGAGUGGGUGUGCAUGAGAUUGCCUUCGCAUGGUUCCUGCGUCUGGUUCUAUGUCUGGCGAAAGGGAAUGGGGACUUUGUUCCUUGACCGGUCCCGGCACCCUCGAUUGGCUCUGCCAAUUAAUGGUCCAUGCAAAUGGAACCAGGCCACAGCCGCCGGCAGUCGCCCGAGGAAGAGUUUUCUUUUCUGCUUAACGCACGAGGUCAUCCCUGGAAACAGUUCGGCUGGCGAAAGGGUGCCCCGUUGCGGCAGAGCGCCACGACUGUCGUGCGCGUCUCGGUGUUCCUGCCGGUCCGUGAAGACGUGGUCGAGGGGAUUGCUCUUGUAUCAACGAAACGCCCGACAAGUUCGGGACGGACCGUACCCUAUAUCCGCAUCUGGUCUCCAAGGUUCGUAGCCUCUGCAGAGUCAGACACAUGUAGGUAAGGGAAGUCGGCAAACUCGAUCCGUAACUUCGGGAAAAGGAUUGGCUCUGAGGGCCGAGCUGGGCCGGGCCUUGCCUGCAAAGCAGUACCUAUAGUGACCGGAGUUUCAGGAGUGCGAGGGGCUCUAGUAGCUGCUUGUGCGUGUGUGCGUUCGCGCGUGCGCGCGUGUGGGCACGAACGAGUCCACCGCUCCGCUCCAACCACGAACGGCUGUGACGGCAAGGGCUCUGGGCGGGAGCGAUCAAACCGUUGGCCUCCAGCUCGUCUGGCUGGCGGCGGUGCUCCGUCUGACCCAUACGGCUCCAGCGGCUAGCGGCUAACUCAGAACUGUCAUGGACCAAGGGAAUCCGACUGUCUAAUUAAAACAAAGCGUCGUGACGGCCCCUGUUGGGUGUUGACGCGACGUGAUUUC